GACGAACGCUGGCGGCGUGCUUAACACAUGCAAGUCGAACGGCAAGGCCCUUCGGGGUACACGAGUGGCGAACGGGUGAGUAACACGUGGGUGAUCUGCCCUGCACUUCGGGAUAAGCCUGGGAAACUGGGUCUAAUACCGGAUAGGACCACUGCCUGCAUGGGUGGUGGUGGAAAGCUUUUGCGGUGUGGGAUGGGCCCGCGGCCUAUCAGCUUGUUGGUGGGGUGAUGGCCUACCAAGGCGACGACGGGUAGCCGGCCUGGGAGGGUGACCGGCCACGCUGGGACGGAGAUACGGCCCAGACUCCUACGGGAGGCAGCAGUGGGGAAUAUUGCACAAUGGGCGCAAGCCUGAUGCAGCGACGCCGCGUGAGGGAUGACGGCCUUCGGGUUGUAAACCUCUUUCAGCACCGACGAAGCGCAAGUGACGGUAGGUGCAGAAGAAGGACCGGCCAACUACGUGCCAGCCGCCGCCGUAA
rnacentral:rRNA from 1 species